rnacentral:rRNA from 1 species
UAGGGAAUCUUCGGCAAUGGGGGCAACCCUGACCGAGCAACGCCGCGUGAGUGAAGAAGGUUUUCGGAUCGUAAAGCUCUGUUGUAAGUCAAGAACGAGUGUGAGAGUGGAAAGUUCACACUGUGACGGUAGCUUACCAGAAAGGGACGGCUAACUACGUGCCAGCAGNNNNGGUAAUACGUAGGUCCCGAGCGUUGUCCGGAUUUAUUGGGCGUAAAGCGAGCGCAGGCGGUUUGAUAAGUCUGAAGUUAAAGGCUGUGGCUCAACCAUAGUUCGCUUUGGAAACUGUCAAACUUGAGUGCAGAAGGGGAGAGUGGAAUUCCAUGUGUAGCGGUGAAAUGCGUAGAUAUAUGGAGGAACACCGGUGGCGAAAGCGGCUCUCUGGUCUGUAACUGACGCUGAGGCUCGAAAGCGUGGGGAGCGAACAGGAUUAGAUACCCUGGUAGUCCACGCCGUAAACGAUGAGUGCUAGGUGUUGGAUCCUUUCCGGGAUUCAGUGCCGCAGCUAACGCAUUAAGCACUCCGCCUGGGGAGUACGACCGCAAGGUUG